UUAAAAAUAAUUAAUUACCAGUUAAUCUGAAAAUAUAUUAUAAUAGUGAAAUUAAUAUAAUUAUAACGUCAAGAUAUUCUUAUUGUUAAAGUUUUAAAAUAAACUUUUGAUGUAAAUUCUUUGAAUAAUCUCAACAUCUCCAUACAUAUCCGUCAAUGCAAUUAACUAACUUGAGAGAAUGUCCAUGAAUGCAUUUUAAUGUGUUAUUUUGGCGAUUAGAAGAUUGUAAUUUUUAAAUUACUGCUAAAGAAACAGCUCCUUGGUAUUUUUAUUCA